UACAGAGGUCUCAAGCGUUUGUUCGGAUUCAUUGGGCGUAAAGGGUGCGUAGGCGGCGCGGUAAGUCGGGUGUGAAAUCUCGGGGCUUAACUCCGAAACUGCAUUCGAUACUGCUGGUGCUCGAGGACUGGAGAGGAGACUGGAAUUCAUGGUGUAGCAGUGAAAUGCGUAGAGAUCAUGAGGAAGACCAGUGGCGAAGGCGGGUCUCUGGACAGUUCCUGACACUGAGGCACGAAGGCCAGGGGAGCAAACGGGG
rnacentral:rRNA from 1 species